rfam:Solanum lycopersicum cultivar Heinz 1706 chromosome 7, whole genome shotgun sequence.
UGAUGAUGAUGUGGGCAACUCAAUAAUAGAGACUCUAACCUAUCCCAUGCUUGAUAAAAAAUUUCCUCAACUUUUUGUAGGAAGCUUAAUAUGUCGCUUCUUAACUU